rnacentral:piRNA from 1 species
CCUUCAGGAACUGUCCUACAUUGAGCUGC